rnacentral:rRNA from 1 species
AUUGAACGCUGGCGGCAGGCCUAACACAUGCAAGUCGAACGAGCGGCGGACGGGUGAGUAAUGUCUGGGAAACUGCCUGAUGGAGGGGGAUAACUACUGGAAACGGUAGCAAAUACCGCAUACCAUCAGAUGUGCCCAGAUGGGAGUAGCUAGUAGGUGGGGUAACGGCUCACCAAGGCGACGCUCCCUAGCUGGUCUGAGAGGAUGACCAGCCACACUGGGACUGAGACACGGUCCAGACUCCUACGGGAGGCAGCAGUGGGGAAUAUUGCACAAUGGGCGCAAGCCUGAUGCAGCCAUGCCGCGUGUAUGAAGAAGGCCUUCGGGUUGUAAAGUACUUUCAGCGGGGAGGCGUUACCCGCAGAAGAAGCACCGGCUAACUCCGUGCCAGCAGCCGCGGUAAUAC